AACCAUAAUAACGAUCGACAUUGAGAAAUUACACCUGCACAUCAAACUUUGUAUAAGCUAACCAAACCCUUGUAGUCGGUGAUCCUGAGUUCGUCGUGAUCAUGAGCAAUCGAGUUCAUCGGGUUCCUUUGGCGAUCGAGGGGCUGCGGGAAGGAGUUGGAAAGUUGGGGAAGGAAGAGAUUUACAUGAAAAGGAGAAGUUUGAGAGAGC
rnacentral:misc_RNA from 1 species